rnacentral:lncRNA from 1 species
ACUUUCAACACGUAAUACAUAUGAUUGAAUUAUUUUAAAACAUACUCGUACCGGCAUCAACUAUUUGUAGUACAGCCCGAUCUGCGGCUAAAUAUCGAAAUACAUCGUUCACGUUUCAGCGGUGAGAUCAAGAGCCUAUUAAAUGUCAUGCUUAGACUUUCGGUUUUAACCCUAUUUUCAUAUUUCUAUCACAGCUCUUCCGAUCUGUAGGACUCGAGGAGCUGAGUGUAAGCUAAGAUACGCAUUUCCCUAACAUAGUAA